UGAACGUGGCUACUGUGCCAGCUGGUGGAUCGCUCGGCUUGAGAGCUGAAGACGGACGUGCCAAGCUGCGAUAAGCCCAAGGGACCCGCACGGAGGGUAAGAACUUGGGAUCUCCGAAUGGGAAUCCCCACCGCAAUUGCUUCGCGCAAUGGGGAACGUCGGGAAUUGAAACAUCUUAGUACCGACAGGAAAAGAAGACGUAAUGUGAUGUCGUUAGUAAGGGCGACUGAACGCGAUACAGUCCAAACCGAAGCCUCUACGGGCAAUGUGGUGUUCGGACUGACGAUCACUCCGCGAACCGCGACACGAAGUCUCUUGGAACAGAGUACGA
rnacentral:ncRNA from 1 species